ensembl:lncRNA
UGUUAGUAUGUCAUGAAUAGAAUUUCAAAAAAAGAAUAUUCCUGUGUUGUUAUAUUAUUUUUUUUUCUCUGAUCAAAAAAAAAAGACAACGGAGCUCAGCGACGUAACGCAGACCAGAGGAGCUUCACGCAAACACGUAAAUGGCAUCACGGGUUCGCCGGUGAACGGAGGGAUCCGUCCAGCGCGCACGGAGAAGCCUGCGGGAGAUUCAAUUGACCGCACUCGAUUUUGCCGCCGAUUGAGGGUAAAACAAACACUAGUGGGACGAGGUGAAACGAAAUCCGUACUGAAAAGCG